CUGGGAUGGCUUCGGCCUGAACCCCCAACCAUUGUGAACGAUUCCAGCGGCUUAGCUGGUGGCGGUGAAUAACUGCCCUGGCGGCACGCGAGACUCUUCUAAUGUUAUCUCUGAGUUACUUUUAAUAAGUUA
rnacentral:misc_RNA from 1 species